rnacentral:tRNA from 1 species
GGAAUCUUAGUUUAUAAAAAUAGAUACUUUGAAAGUAUCAGUAAGAAGGCUUCUUCUAGACUCCU